rnacentral:tRNA from 1 species
UGCUUCAUAGUCUAAUGGUAGGACGCCUGAUUCUGGAUCAGGUGGUCUUGGUUCGAGUCCAGGUGAGGCAGC